rnacentral:rRNA from 1 species
AGUGAACGCUGGCGGUAGGCCUAACACAUGCAAGUCGAACGGCAGCACAAUAAGAGCUUGCUCUUACGGGUGGCGAGUGGCGGACGGGUGAGGAAUACAUCGGAAUCUACUUUUUCGUGGGGGGUAACGUAGGGAAACUUACGCUAAUACCGCAUACGACCUACGGGUGAAAGCAGGGGAUCUUCGGACCUUGCGCGAUUGAAUGAGCCGAUGUCGGAUUAGCUAGUUGGCGGGGUAAAGGCCCACCAAGGCGACGAUCCGUAGCUGGUCUGAGAGGAUGAUCAGCCACACUGGAACUGAGACACGGUCCAGACUCCUACGGGAGGCAGCAGUGGGGAAUAUUGGACAAUGGGCGCAAGCCUGAUCCAGCCAUACCGCGUGGGUGAAGAAGGCCUUCGGGUUGUAAAGCCCUUUUGUUGGGAAAGAAAAGCAGCAGGUUAAUACCCCGCUGUUCUGACGGUACCCAAAGAAUAAGCACCGGCUAACUUCGUG